GAUGAACGCUGGCGGCGUGCCUAAUACAUGCAAGUCGAGCGAACGGACGAGAAGCUUGCUUCUCUGAUGUUAGCGGCGGACGGGUGAGUAACACGUGGAUAACCUACCUAUAAGACUGGGAUAACUUCGGGAAACCGGAGCUAAUACCGGAUAAUAUUUUGAACCGCAUGGUUCAAAAGUGAAAGACGGUCUUGCUGUCACUUAUAGAUGGAUCCGCGCUGCAUUAGCUAGUUGGUAAGGUAACGGCUUACCAAGGCAACGAUGCAUAGCCGACCUGAGAGGGUGAUCGGCCACACUGGAACUGAGACACGGUCCAGACUCCUACGGGAGGCAGCAGUAGGGAAUCUUCCGCAAUGGGCGAAAGCCUGACGGAGCAACGCCGCGUGAGUGAUGAAGGUCUUCGGAUCGUAAAACUCUGUUAUUAGGGAAGAACAUAUGUGUAAGUAACUGUGCACAUCUUGACGGUACCUAAUCAGAAAGCCACGGCUAACUACGUGCCAGCAGCCGCGGUAAUACGUAGGUGGCAAGCGUUAUCCGGAAUUAUUGGGCGUAAAGCGCGCGUAGGCGGUUUUUUAAGUCUGAUGUGAAAGCCCGCGGCUCAACCGUGGAGGGUCAUUGGAAACUGGAAAACUUGAGUGCAGAAGAGGAAAGUGGAAUUCCAUGUGUAGCGGUGAAAUGCGCAGAGAUAUGGAGGAACACCAGUGGCGAAGGCGACUUUCUGGUCUGUAACUGACGCUGAUGUGCGAAAGCGUGGGGAUCAAACAGGAUUAGAUACCCUGGUAGUCCACGCCGUAAACGAUGAGUGCUAAGUGUUAGGGGGUUUCCGCCCCUUAGUGCUGCAGCUAACGCAUUAAGCACUCCGCCUGGGGAGUACGACCGCAAGGUUGAAACUCAAAGGAAUUGACGGGGACCCGCACAAGCGGUGGAGCAUGUGGUUUAAUUCGAAGCAACGCGAAGAACCUUACCAAAUCUUGGCAUCCUUUGACAACUCUAGAGAUAGAGCUUUCCCCUUCGGGGGACAAAGUGACAGGCGGUGCAUGGUUGUCGUCAGCUCGUGUCGUGAGAUGUUGGGUUAAGUCCCGCAACGAGCGCAACCCUUAAGCUUAGUUGCCAUCAUUAAGUUGGGCACUCUAAGUUGACUGCCGGUGACAAACCGGAGGAAGGUGGGGAUGACGUCAAAUCAUCAUGCCCCUUAUGAUUUGGGCUACACACGUGCUACAAUGGACAAUACAAAGGGCAGCGAAACCGUGAGGUCAAGCAAAUCCCAUAAAGUUGUUCUCAGUUCGGAUUGUAGUCUGCAACUCGACUACAUGAAGCUGGAAUCGCUAGUAAUCGUAGAUCAGCAUGCCACGGUGAAUACGUUCCCGGGUCU
rnacentral:rRNA from 1 species